GGCUCUUUGUAGGUUGAAAAUAAAGAGUCGUACCUGCCCAGUGAAUUGUUUUAACGGCCGCGGUACUCUGACCGUGCAAAGGUAGCAUAAUCAUUUGCCUUAUAAUUGAAGGCUAGUAUGAAUGGUUUGACAAGAAUAUGACUGUCUCUUUUUAAUUAAUUAAAAUUUGAUCUGCAAGUGAAGAAGCUUGCAUAAAAUUGAUAGACAAGAAGACCCUGUCGAGCUUUAAAAGAAUCGAGAGGUUAAAAUUAAUAGAUUUAAAAAAUACACUAUCCUUUAUUUUAGUUGGGGCGACUGAGGAACAAGAGAAGCUUCCUUUAUUAGGAAAAAUGAAUUGGUGAUGAUCCAGAAAAUUCUGAACAAAAAAAUUAGUUACCGCAGGGAUAACAGCAUAAUUUCCUUCAAGAGCCCAUAUCGAAAAGGGAGUUUGUGACCUCGAUGUUGGACCAGAAUAUCCUAAAGAUGCAGCAGUCUUUAAGGGUUGGUCUGUUCGACCAUUAAAAUUCUACG
rnacentral:rRNA from 1 species